CGCCAAUGGGCGUAGUGGCGGGCGCAGCCGGGGGUGUGGCUGCUGUAUUAUUGGUGGUGAUAGUGAUCGCCGCCAUUUUCUUUAUCCGACGGCGACGGAAUCAACGACCUCCACUUCCCGUCCGUAAGGAUAUGUCAGAUGUGGAAGGGGUUUCCAAUGCGUCGUUCGUUACAGACCCAAUUGGCUCCCGUUUGCAUGAAGGCACAAGAGCGGCUGAUGACGGACCUGGCCCAAGUUCAGCUACUAAAUAUCAUGCCUCAAGACCAAUUUUCAAGGAGAACAAUAGG